ACGACGCCGCGUGAGGGAUGAAGGCCUUCGGGUUGUAAACCUCUUUUGCAGGGGAAGAAAGGCGCAAGCUUGAUGGUACUCUGCGAAUAAGCCACGGCUAACUACGUGCCAGCAGCCGCGGUAAUA
rnacentral:rRNA from 1 species